CUGCAUGAGGCGCCUUUUUGACUUUAUGGUUGUUAUGUUUACUAUCUCUACGCUAAUCUUGGGAUCUUUUAUUCUUUCUUUCUCUCUUAUUUCUUUUUUCCUCUUUCAAAUAUUUUCAAAAAUCUAACAUUAUAUCUGGUGCACACUCUUUGUUUCAGAAUUAUUUUCAUACUCCCCUUAUCGUUAUUCUUGGCAUCUUUAUACUUCCUCCCUACCUUUCUCUUCCUUCUCCUCUUCUCUUCUCUUCUCUUUCUUUUCUCUUUCUCUCUCUCCAUCUUUCUUCUUUCUCACCUAGGAUCGUACUCUUGCAUCUUUUUCUUUUAUCGAUUGG
rnacentral:tRNA from 1 species